UACGUAGGGUGCGAGCGUUGUCCGGAAUUAUUGGGCGUAAAGGGCUCGUAGGCGGUCUGUUGCGUCAGGAGUGAAAACUCGGGGCUUAACCCCGGGCCUGCAGCCGAUACGGGCAGACUAGAGUUCGGCAGGGGAGACUGGAAUUCCUGGUGUAGCGGUGAAAUGCGCAGAUAUCAGGAGGAACACCGGUGGCGAAGGCGGGUCUCUGGACCACAACUGACGCUGAGGCGCGAAAGCUAGGGGAGCAAACAGG
rnacentral:rRNA from 1 species